rnacentral:rRNA from 1 species
UACAGAGGGGGCAAGCGUUGUUCGGAAUUACUGGGCGUAAAGGGCGCGUAGGCGGUUUGACAAGUGUCGUGUGAAAGCCCCGUGCUUAACACGGGGAGGCCACGGCAGACUGUCAGACUCGAGUGAUGCAGAGGGUGGUGGAAUUGCCGGUGUAGUGGUGAAAUGCGUAGAGAUCGGCAGGAACACCCCAGGGCGAAAAGCAGCCACCUGGGCAUCAACUGACGCUGAGGGACGGAAAGCGUGGGGAGCCGAACAGG